UAAUCUAAAAUUGUGGUCUGAAUCAAUAUAUUUGCCAGAAAGAAACAUUCCCGCUUCUUAGCUAUUGCGCCUAAACAGUUCAAGAGGGAAUUGAAUUUAUAGGAGGCAAACUCAGAUUUAAAAUUUGGGCAUUUAGACCACAUCUAUAAGAAAUUCUGUUGUACGAAGGCUUGUCGAAAUAGAGCCCAUGCCCUAAAUGAGGGCUGCCCUAUACACUUGGAGAAAAUAAUAAACAAAACUUAAAUGAGCCCAUUCCCCCUUCUUCAGAUCUUUCGACGGUGGUUGUAGCUUUCAGUGGUGGUUGGUGGCUUCGAUUGGAAUCCGGACCAUAGUUAUUCGAUGGUGAUGGAUUGGGAAACUGAAGAACAUAGCAGAGCAGAGAUUCUGGGAUUAGGGUUUAGGGAAACAGAAGGGGAUCCGACUUGAUUCGAUCUGGGUUCUUGUGUUGUGUUGUUCAAUUUUUCAAUUGGUUCUUCACUGGAUUGUUCGAUUGGGUUCUUCAAUCAGGGUUUUGGCAUUAAUCUUAGCUUCGAGUUUGUUCAACUUGUUUUGUAUGCUAGUUUUUGAUUUUUUAUGUUCGAUUGCUUUGACUUGGUUAGUUGUAGAAUUGAGCAGCUACGGUUUUGGGAUUGAGAUUGUUCGACUUGUUUUCUAUGCUAGUAUUUUUUUUAUUUUAAUGUUUGAUUGCUUUUCAGGUUUUUGAAGAAUUGCUUUCUUUAAGAAUUGAGCAGCCGGUCUUGUUGGCAAUCAAGGUGCUUAAUAUUAUCAAGCUUUAUGGAAAGUCAAUCCGUGUAAACAAGGUAUGUAAUUGAUUUGUUGAAGUUUUAUGUUUUUAACUGUAAGUUUCUUUAUCUGAUAGUUUGUUGGUAGUUUUAAAGAUUGUCGCAAACUUCUUCUUUUCAAAAAAAGAUGCAGCAAGAUGGAUUUCUCUAUGUAUCUGACAGUUUGUCAAUUGGUAGUUUUUUUUUGCUUAUAUUCUUGUUCACAUUUAAGAAGGAUAAACAUAAGCAUAUGUCUAUAGGGCUUUGGUUGACUAUAAUGAUUUCUUGGUUAUCUAAACAUCAGUCUUUGAUUUCUAAUUGAAUGACAAAUUGGUCAAGCCUCGAGACCUAUGUGAGCUCUACAUCUUACAUGAGCAUUUAAUAUAGUCAUUUUGAAGAUCUUCUGCAGCAUCUAUUUGUUCUUUUUGGUAGAUGUGUUAUAAGCUAAAAUCCUAACUAGGGCUUUCUGCACAAGAUGAAUGAACUGAGAUGUACAUGCCUGUGACUUUUGAAUUGGGCCUGAUAAUCAUCAAUGUUCCGUAUUUUGUAGAGCAUAUAUAAGUUAUGCUGUUCCCUGUCAUAAUCUGUAAACUGAAUAUAUGAUUUUCGAUGUUUAUGGCCUGCCCCAUUUUAUGGUCAGAUGAAUACUGUGAAUUGAUCUUUUGCAAUGUGACUGUAACACAAGAAAAGAGUUUUUUCUAUUAGUCAUUAUUCUACCACCAUAUUUCAGUUGCAUUUAGAUUGUACGAUCUAUGACAUACGGGCUACAUUGAGCAUGAUGAGGUGAGAAUCUUCUGCUGUUUUCUUCUCUUGAUUGUAGGUAAUGAAGCGCAACAUUAGUUAUUGUGCUAGUUUCCUACUCUUACAUUGCUACUUGUAAACGAUAAAUACAUAUGAAGCCAUCUAUCUUAUUACAUUCAGAUAAAUAGCACUAUCAGUGUUUGUGAACAUUUUGUGCAUAGUAAAUUGUGAUUCCAAAGAACUUAUAAUCUAAUUAGCUAUAUCCCGUCAUUUAUAUAUAUAUUUCCACAUCUCUUGUUCGUCUUUUAAUUUAAGCGAUCUGAUUUUUUGCCUCUAUGCAUGUUGUCCAUAAUAUUAUUGUGGCAGGUAAAGGAGAUAGUGCUAGCCCUUUUGAGGGAAUCAGAGCUGGCACUUACUGAUGAUGUUAUUGAAUCAAUCGUUGACAAGUUUUUGAUCAUUCUGGUCUUUGAUAUAUGUUGUAUUUUACUCGUUAUCCAACCUAAUUAGCUUCAUGUUUUCAUAUAGACAAUGAUGGAGGCAGAUUUAAAAGGAGAUGGAAAAAUUGAUCAAGAAGAGUUGAAGGAAUAUGUGGCAAAUCAUCCAUCUCUUAUAAACAAUAUAACUCUUCCAUAUCUACAGUGAAUCCUAAAAGCCUACUAAUCUCACCAGUAACGGUUUCAUUUCUCUCUUCUAUUCUGUCCCAAGCCAUUUAGCUGUAAUCUUGUAGGGAGUUAAUUACCUACAUAUUUUUGUGUCCCAGAUGUGGAAAACCUUAAGGGAAGAAAACGAUAAAUUGUAUCCCCUAACUCACAAAAAAUAAAGCUCAUCAUUACGACAUUACAUGCAGAAAACAUAUCAUGAAUUUUCAUAUAUCAAAUCCUGGUUAUUGAUGCUGUAUGUGUGAAAACAAAUUUCAGGUUACAUGUGGGGCAGAGUUAGCUGCUUUGUUUGUGGAUACACUUGUCAAGGGGAGAUUCCCUUAUGACGAUGAAACCCUCGGACUUUUCUGUAGGUUAUGAGUCUCCUUUGGUAGCUGUUGCAAGAGUUGGAAUGCGGUGAAAUGCUUAGCUGCCUUUCUUUAAUUUCAGAGGCAGAUUCACUCAUUUAAUUUGAUGAAAGAACUAUUAGCAUUUCAGGGAGAGAGAUUAAGGUUUAUAUGGUGUUGAAUGAUGCAACAAAGGUCAUGUAAAUACCUGGAAUGGUAACUGUUGAUACGGAGUGGGUAAUUUGGGAGAGCUUUGUAUUUCUUUUACCUUUGUUUGUCAUAUGUGUUCUAGCUUUUACCAAUGUACGGCUAUGCUUUAUGUUUAAUAAAAGAGACCUAGUUUUGAUGCA